GGAAACGACUGCUAAUACCGCAUAAUGUCUACGGACCAAAGGGGGCUUCGGCUCUCGCCUUUAGAUUGGCCCAAGUGGGAUUAGCUAGUUGGUGAGGUAAUGGCUCACCAAGGCGACGAUCCCUAGCUGGUUUGAGAGGAUGAUCAGCCACACUGGGACUGAGACACGGCCCAGACUCCUACGGGAGGCAGCAGUGGGGAAUAUUGCACAAUGGGCGCAAGCCUGAUGCAGCCAUGCCGCGUGUGUGAAGAAGGCCUUCGGGUUGUAAAGCACUUUCAGUCAGGAGGAAAGGUUAGUAGUUAAUACCUGCUAGCUGUGACGUUACUGACAGAAGAAGCACCGGCUAACUCCGUGCCAGCAGCCGCGGUAAUACGGAGGGUGCGAGCGUUAAUCGGAAUUACUGGGCGUAAAGCGUACGCAGGCGGUUUGUUAAGCGAGAUGUGAAAGCCCCGGGCUCAACCUGGGAACUGCAUUUCGAACUGGCAAACUAGAGUGUGAUAGAGGGUGGUAGAAUUUCAGGUGUAGCGGUGAAAUGCGUAGAGAUCUGAAGGAAUACCGAUGGCGAAGGCAGCCACCUGGGUCAACACUGACGCUCAUGUACGAAAGCGUGGGGAGCAAACGGGAUUAGAUACCCCGGUAGUCCACGCCGUAAACGAUGUCUACUAGAAGCUCGGAGCCUCGGUUCUGUUUUUCAAAGCUAACGCAUUAAGUAGACCGCCUGGGGAGUACGGCCGCAAGGUUAAAACUCAAAUGAAUUGACGGGGGCCCGCACAAGCGGUGGAGCAUGUGGUUUAUUUCGAUGCAACGCGAAGAACCUUACCUACACUUGACAUACAGAGAACUUACCAGAGAUGGUUUGGUGCCUUCGGGAACUCUGAUACAGGUGCUGCAUGGCUGUCGUCAGCUCGGUGUUGUGAGAUGUUGGGUUAAGUCCCGCAACGAGCGCA
rnacentral:rRNA from 1 species